rnacentral:rRNA from 1 species
GAUGAACGCUAGCGGCGGGCCUAAUACAUGCAAGUUGAACGGGAUUGUUGGUAGCAAUAUUGACAUGAGAGUGGCGCACGGGUGCGUAACACGUAUGUAACCUACCUUUAACUGGGGCAUAGCUUCGAGAAAUCGAAAUUAAUACCCCAUAACAUUUAGAAAAGGCAUCUUUUCUUUAUCAAAGCUCAGGCGGUUAAGGAUGGACAUGCGGUGCAUUAGCUUGUUGGUGAGGUAACGGCUCACCAAGGCUACGAUGCAUAGGGGGUCGUGAGAGGAUGAUCCCCCACACUGGUACUGAGACACGGACCAGACUCCUACGGGAGGCAGCAGUAGGGAAUAUUGGGCAAUGGACGAAAGUCUGACCCAGCCACGCCGCGUGAAGGAUGAAUGCCCCUCUGGGUUGUAAAACUUUCUUUUGUUAUGGGAAGAAAAAGUUACCGUAACGUAGUUCGGUAGGCUGACGGUAACGUAUAAAG